UUCAGGAAAGGCUUAUGAGAGAGACCAGCCUGUCUGGAAGAGGAAUGGAGACUUCAGCUUGAAGACAGAGUAUAACAGCAAAAGUGACUCACAUCCUAGAGACACAUGAAUCAGCACAAAACAAAUUAAACAAAGCAACAUUAAACAGCAGCAAAGAAAUCCUUAAAUCAUCAUAAGAAAAUGCCAAACAUCCAACAGGGCUGGAAGAGAGAAGGUACAGGGUGACAUAAAAUGGAGGAUGCUGCAAGCAAUAAUGAAAAGGAGAGAUGAAGAUACAGAUGGUGAAGAAAGGUCCUGUGAACGAGAUGCAGUUAUUUUUUUAUCUCAGCAGUAAGCAGAGCAUCCCAUUCCUUUUAUCAAGCCACCUAGGUAGAUUCUUGAAUCCACCUCCUGGAAAGGACGCAUAAACCUGCUGCCUGAGCUGUCUUAAGAGCUUGAUCAAGCAGUGAGAAACUAUGAAAAUAAAUGCUGAACUACAGAUGUGGCAGAAAUUUUGGGCUUCAGAGGAAGACUUGAAGAAAAUACUGAUUUCAUUAGGAGCAUAUCACCCACAGAUUUCAUGCUGUUAUUCUCCAGUGUGAGCCACGGUUCCAUAUUCCAUGGCAGGAAAGUGUCUCUAAGGAGACGUGAAUCACAGCCUAUUACAUCACAAUGUGACAAGUGAAUGAUGUUGGAUUUCCUGCUUGAAUGCACAACACUAAGUGCAGCUCCCCACUUUAACUGCUGAGGAUGGGAACAUACCCCCAUGGAGGCCUGCACUCCCCUACUGAGCCCAUCCUCUUUGAGCACUCCUUGAAGGAUGACAAAUAUGGCAUCUCUUCUCAUACUACGUGUAGCUCACUCUUUUUACUCUCUUUCGGAUAGCAAAAUGCCUCUUGAGCCUCCUCUCUGCUAUUCCUUCCCUUUUCAUGCUUGUCUCUUGGGAAAGCAAGUUCUGAAGACAGAUGUUGCUUUCUCCUUUUAUUACUAUUCCACCUCUUUGCAGAGUCUCACACUACACCACAAGUUACAGCUCAUAAGUGGAUACAUAUGAAAAUAAUAUAGCUACAUACUCUCCAUGCCACUGAUUUAAGCAUGCCAGUACUGACUUUACCCUCCUUUCAUGGGCGCUAUCUUACAGUGAAACUUCGAGAAUAAACAGCUGUGAAUAUUUAACAGCCACUUUUCCAAGAUCCUGGUCGUUAGGUCAGAAUGCCAUGGUGUCUUAAUUAGUUUGGUGUGCCUCCCCUUUUCUUUUCUGAUCUGAAUGGCAAUUAUAGGGUAAGUAACUACUCUGCUUUGUCACCGUUCCAGUACAGCAAAUUAUGUUCUUGUUAUUUGUCACAUUGCUAGUUUUUGUGAAUGGAUAAUAUUGAUUAAAAUCUGUUUUGCAAAUAAGACACAAUUUAUGAAUGCAAUAAGCUUAUUCUAGAGGGAGUUUACUUUUUCCUGAUCACUAGAUAAAAUAUGUUAAAGGAGAUUAGUUCUGCUGUGGUGGAAUACUUUGACAAGAUGUUGAAAUCCCUGCAUCCAAGACAGUUCUAUUUGUACCAGUGGAAUAAAAAUUAACAUGUGCUCAGUGUACUAGGUCUUGAGGCCAGGACAUUCACCUUCUAGACUCAUUUUCUGUUUGCUAAACCCAUUUAAUUACAGAUUUAAAAUGCUGAAGAAAUGUGCAGUACAUGUGCAUCUUAGGUAACUCUGGGAAAAAAUAGUUUACCAUUUUCAAGUCUGAAAAUGAAAGUAGGGCUCUUUCAGACCAGCAGAUUUGGAAAUCUUCCACACAUUCCCACAGAAAUCCUUCCUGGACCCGGUCAAGACUAGACAUAUUUAACUUGGUGAUAACAGGCUGAAGAUGUUAAGGGAAGUUAUUGAAGCAACUGUAACUAAUGCCACAACAGGUUGUAAACAGAAGAGAAAAAAAUUAAAAUUAUUAGUACAUGUGUUGGAAUUUCUGUUUAAAAGCAUCUUUUAAAUGACUGAAAUAGCUAGAUAAAAUUUGGAAAAGAAAACUCCAUGAGAAACUCAGUCUGAGUCCCUGCAGCAUCCAAAAUGGUUUUUCUACUACUUCUCACUUUAUUUGCCAAAUAAGCAAAUCAACAAUGAGGGCUAUACUUUCUUCCGAAAGUGUUUUGGAAAAUUCCUUUCUAAGAAAAAAUUUAGGAGAAAUAAGUAUGUUUCUUGAAAAUGUACUGGUGUACAAGAAAGAUUUUUUGGGUUUUUUCAUUCCUGUUCUUUCUAGGGUUCCCCAUCCAUCUUAGCAGGCAGCAGACCAGGAAAAUAACUGAUUGCUUUUGUACUUUUGGGAAAAUCAGGUAGAUUGCUUUUCGGUGUGCUGAAGAAAUGCAAUGCAAGAUUUCACACCACUAAAACUCCUUCUGAGAGUCAAUCCAUUUCUUGAGACUGUGCCUGAAUACCCCAAUUAAUUCACUCCAGUUGAUAUUACUAACAUCUUGCCUUUCUACAUCUUCUCUCCAAUUGUAAUCAGCUGCUUCGUAAUAAUUUGUUUCAAAGUGAAAUAGAUGUAACUUUUUUCUUUAUUACCAUUUAUUUAUUUAUUUGUCACUGUGUCCUGCCAUUCCAAAUACCAGCAAAAAGCAUGGCAGGGCCACAGAGGUAUUUUGGUGGUUCUUCAAAAGAGGAAAGAUGAUGGUAGGCAUUGGAAAAUAUUUUAUUAUAAGCCUUACUGAAAACAUUUGCAAACUAAACCAAAUAACGGAAGCCUACUUUAUUGCACAACUGACCAUAUGAAAAUAAAAUGUGAAUAAAAUUGUUUUGAAAACUCCAGUUUACAGAAGCAAGUUUAGUGUAGUAUGGAAAUUGUCAAGGAAAAAUUGUACAGGGUUUAUCCAUACUCCAACUGCACCGAGAAACACUGUGUGGUGAAAGGGUUAAACCAGACCAGGCAGCCCUACCACAACAGGGAUAUUUUAUCAUAUAACAACCAAAGCAUUACCCUGCUGUAUUUAAAGGGUUUAUAUGCUGGAUUAAGACAUCCCAUCAUCUUUGGUUCCAUGGAAGAAUGGAACAGAACCUGAAAUAGAAAGCAGUCUUAUAUGUGGGGGACUUGACAAGUUUUUCUGUGUUAUUCAGUCAAUUUUUGCUGUCAUUCUCCAGCAUAGCACUUGAAUCCAUUCAACCUCUAAUAGCAUGAGAGACUCUUUAUUCACUGAGGAGAUGUUGAUUAAUCAAAUUAUGCAAGGAGUUGUCUGAAUUUUCUUCUUAGAAUUCAAAUACUCCAAUGCAAUUAUUCCGUGAAAAAUUUACGCACUUUCACUGGCACUGAUCACUGGUGUGGCUGAUGUGCUCUGAUAAAGUCCAGUGUUUCUAAGAAUAUACUUGGGUCUAAAGUAAUAGCUUUUCUAAUGAUCAAUAGGGAUCUGAAAUCUCAUAGUCCUAAUAUCAAGAUUUUUUUGAGGAUUGACCUGAAAUAAGCUAUAAUCAUGUUAACUCUUCUAGCAUUUUUGAUGUCUUACAUUGUGUUGCAGUUUGCACUCCAAAGUGCCAAGCCGGCCAGGAACAUGGGAGUUAAGCUAACCAAAGUGGUGCUAACUCUGACUAGAGCCUGGCAGACCUGGAGAGAUACAGUGAGGAUCAGCUGACUGACGAGUCACCUAAAGGAGGUGCUGGGGGUCUGGCCAUGCUAAAAGGUGCAAGCACCUCCUACACUCCCAUCUGCCUGCACUGAGAUGACUGGGAUACCUGAAGGUCUCUCAAUUAGCACUGGUCUCCUACACUUAGGGAACUGUCUGGUGCCCUUAGUGUUCAGCAUUAUUCAUGAUCAGACCCUUGAAUGUGUGUAUACGCUUAAAGGAGCAGCAGAAAAUGGCUAAAAUAUUAAUUAGAUAACAGUUCUGCUUUAGUUAAUCCGAGAAAAUGAGUGGAAAGCAAAAAUAUAGGAGGUGGAGUACAUACAGUGCUUACUCUAUAUGCUGCUUUGUUUUUAAAAGAGAGAAACCAAGUUCUUAGAGGUUCCCAUUUUUCUGUUCUUAUGAAUGAUGAUGCCAUUCUGGAGUUUUUCAGUGAGAGAGAGAGGAAUGUCUUUGAAGUGUUUUUGCUAGGGUCCAGUCCCAGUGCAAAUACAACAUAAAGAUGUUGAAUAAUAUUUCAGUGCUCUAUGUUUUAUGGAGAAUUUUGUUUUUCUUUCAUUUGUGAGGUUUCUUACGUUCAUCUGUUUAAUGCAACUUCAAUAACUGAACCUCUUUCUCUUUUUAAUCUCCACAGUGUGAGAAGAGAAUACCCUGCAGGUAUUCUGUUGAAUUUAUGAGAUUAUUAAACAAUUUGUGAG